rnacentral:tRNA from 1 species
AUAGGCUGGGGAUUGACCGGCUAGCAAUUGAUUAUUCCGGCCUUUCACGCCGGCAACACCGGUUCAAAUCCGGUUGGGGACGCCA